UAGAUAUGAGGUGCUUUGA
rnacentral:siRNA from 1 species